UACGGGGGGGGCAAGCGUUGUUCGGAAUUACUGGGCGUAAAGGGCUCGUAGGCGGCCCUCUCAGUCGGAUGUGAAAUCCCCAGGCUUAACCUGGGAACGGCAUCCGAUACUGGAGGGCUUGAAUUCGGGAGAGGGAUGCAGAAUUCCAGGUGUAGCGGUGAAAUGCGUAGAUAUCUGAAGGAAUACCGGUGGCGAAGGCGGCAUCCUGGACCGAGAUUGACGCUGAGGAGCGAAAGCUAGGGGAGCAAACGGG
rnacentral:rRNA from 1 species